rnacentral:rRNA from 1 species
ACGUAGGGUGCGAGCGUUAAUCGGAAUUACUGGGCGUAAAGCGUGCGCAGGCGGCUUUCUAAGACAGAUGUGAAAUCCCCGGGCUCAACCUGGGAACUGCACUUGUGACUGCCGGGCUAGAGUACGGCAGAGGGGGGUGGAAUUCCGCGUGUAGCAGUGAAAUGCGUAGAGAUGUGGAGGAACACCGAUGGCGAAGGCAGCCCCCUGGGCUGAUACUGACGCUCAUGCACGAAAGCGUGGGGAGCAAACAG